AACUUUCAACAACGGAUCUCUUGGUUCUGGCAUCGAUGAAGAACGCAGCGAAAUGCGAUAAGUAGUGUGAAUUGCAGAAUUCAGUGAAUCAUCGAAUCUUUGAACGCACAUUGCGCCCCUUGGUAUUCCAUGGGGCAUGCCUGUUCGAGCGUCAUUUGUACC
rnacentral:rRNA from 1 species